UUCCGGUUGAUCCUGCCGGAGGCCACUGCUAUGGGUGUUGUGCUAAGUCAUGCAAGUCAACGCACCGCCAAUGUUGGUGCGUGGCGCAAAGCUGAGUAACGCGUAGAAAAUCUGGCCUACGGUCNUGAAUAACCAGGGGAAACUCUGGCUAAUCCACGAUAACCGCUCUAUGUUGGAAUACUUAGGCGGUCAAAGGCUCUCGGGCACGGCCGAGUCCGCCGUAGGAUGAUUCUGCGUCCCAUUAGGUUGUUGGUGGGGUAACGGCCCACCAAGCCAAGGAUGGGUACGGGUCGUUGGCGCGAUGACCCGCAGAUGGAUCCUGAGACAAUGAUCCAGGGGCUAUGGCNNGCAGCAGGCGAGAAAACUGGCCAAUGCACGAAAGUGNGAGCCGGCAACACCCAGUCGCAGGGGCAACUCUGCGUUUUCUACAGCGUGAAAUGCNGUNGCAACCGUGCAAACACCGCACAGGCACACGAUACAUCGGAGCAGACCAGAUAAAACCCGAAACCGCUCCCAUGCACGAAAACCUGUAGGAAUAAGGAGGGGGCAAGAAGCGGUGCCAUGCCGCCGCGGUAAGACCGUCCCUUCGAGUGGUNGCCACGAUCUAUGGGCUUAAAGCAUCCGUAGGCGGGUCNGUCCGUCCCACAUUAAAGCNGACGNUUCAAGCGUCUGAACUGUGUGGGAAACUGUCGACCUUGGCNAUGGGAAAGGUGUAACGUACCGCUAGAGUAUGGGUGAAAUCUUAUANU
rnacentral:rRNA from 1 species